UACAGAGGCCUCAAGCGUUAAUCGGAAUUACUGGGCUUAAAGGGUCCGCAGGCGGACCAGCAAGUACCUUGUGAAAUCUCAGGUCUCAACCCUGAGUCUGCUAGGUAGACUGCUGGUCUUGAGUGCAACAGGGGUCGCUGGAACUCUAGGUGGAGCGGUGAAAUGCGUAGAUAUCUAGAGGAACGCCAAAGGCGAAGACAGGCGACUGGUUUGCAACUGACGCUCAUGGACGAAAGCGUGGGGAGCAAACGGG
rnacentral:rRNA from 1 species